rnacentral:tRNA from 1 species
GCAUUCAUGGUGUAGCGGUAACAUUGGGUCUUCCCAUGGCCUAGCUCCGGGUUCGACUCCCGGUGGAUUCA